UCAACAACGGAUCUCUUGGUUCUGGCAUCGAUGAAGAACGCAGCGAAAUGCGAUAAGUAAUGUGAAUUGCAGAAUUCAGUGAAUCAUCGAAUCUUUGAACGCACAUUGCGCCCCCUGGUAUUCCGGGGGGCAUGCCUGUUCGAGCGUCAUUACA
rnacentral:rRNA from 1 species